rnacentral:rRNA from 1 species
UACAGGGGGUGCAAGCGUUAUUCGGAAUUAUUGGGCGUAAAGAGCGUGUAGGUGGUUUGUCGCGUCUGCUGUGAAAAUCCGGGGCUCAACCCCGGACUUGCAGUGGGUACGGGCAGACUAGAGUGUGGUAGGGGAGACUGGAAUUCCUGGUGUAGCGGUGAAAUGCGCAGAUAUCAGGAGGAACACCGAUGGCGAAGGCAGGUCUCUGGGCCACUACUGACGCUGAGAAGCGAAAGCAUGGGGAGCGAACAGG